GAUCCAUCUAGAUUUGCUUCAUAUGCCUUUGCUCAACAUCAUGUUAGUCCUCACAUAGUGUGUUGUGCAUCUAAUCACCAAAACAAUAUAGAAAUGGCCCAAGGGCACAUUUCCCUUUCAAUCUCCCCCUUUUUGGUGAUUUAUGCCAACACAUUAAAAAUAACUCAUUUUGAACUAACAUAUCUAAAAGAGCUCAAAAAUGCAGACUUAUGUCAAAUUGAAGACCAAUAAGAUUUCACAUACGAUUUGGCAUAUUUAGAUCACUUUUGCCACCACUUGGUUUAUUUUCACAAAACAAAUUAUUUUUCCUAUCUCUAAGUCAGAAACACUUGUUUUGGCAAAUCAAAAGAUCUUUCUAGAGUAAAUUUGAUAAAAUGCCGAAAACUAUACCUUUUUCCCAUAAUCGAAUUUAUUCCCCAUAAGAGAACAGUUUUUGCAUUAAGAGGGUUUUGAUCAAACACCAAGAAUCUAAUUCUAUAAUUUUGAAAUUCACAAGUGGUUGGCUGAUCCAGUUGCUUUGGCCUUAAUUUCACCCCCUUUGGCAUUAAGCACCAAAACAGGAGAACUUGUUGGCCCCCUAACCCCAUUACCUCACCUGGAUCCCCUGGAUCCUCUGUGGCUUGCUCAUCUACUCGCAUCAAUACAAACAUACAUAGUAUAGCAAAAAUUCACAUCACACCAAACAAUAGGACAGAAUGCAUGAUAAUAUUCUAUGUUGCGUAACAAGAUCAUAGGAACAAGAAUCACUAAGUUCGGAGUUACAGUUAUUUAGUUAUGAAUUUCUGAAGUUAUUAAGUACUUGGAAUAGCAUAACUCAUGUGAAUAAUUUUAGUUCAAGUUUCAUGGAUAAACAAAGUUACUAAGUGAUAAACAAUAAUAAAACAAAUUUAAUGCCACUGGAAUGGGUCAAUUUGGAGUUAAAAUGAAUUUAAUAUGAAUUAUACAAGUUUCUAGAAUUAUUUUUGUAUUAAAAAUCAAUUUCUAUAAUUAUUUCUCUGUUUUCUCUAUUUCCUGGAUUGCGCAUCAAAUUCUGGAAAGUGCAGGGGCUAAGCUAUAAAAUUUCUAAGACUAAGUGAAUAACCCGAGUGGACGGUGUGGCAGAACCUCCCAAGUUAUUGGGCCCACAUGCACUUGUCCUUGUCUCAAAGACCUCAGACAGCUAUGCAUGUGCACCAGAUAACUUAACAGGAUCUGUCCGAGUGCCCCAAGGACCUCGGAUAAAUCACUUUCAACCAGGACCGCAGGAUUAAGUAAACACAAAUCACACACCAACAUUUUGCAGCGGAAAUCUUUUUACCAAAUUUUACAAGUUACAUCAAGUUUUACAUUAUAUUUAUCGGAGUGGUUAUAGAAGUGGUUCAAAGAAUAAACUUUGAAAUGUUAUAAAUUAUGUAUAAGUUUUGAAUAUAUGCUAGCUCAAGUGACCAUCCUCAAUAAGAAGUAUAGAAGAGUUACUUAGACUUAUAAGAAGGCCGAGCCCACCGGCACUUAACACCAUCAACAACAGCACAAAGUUAAAACCUGAAAACAACAGGGAAUAAAACCCUGAGUACGGAAUUACUCAGCAAGACUUACCCGACUAAAGAAAAGACUCUCAAGGGUAUGCUGGCUAGAGGGAUUCAAGGUAAAGCUCAUCAAGUUUCAAAGACUCUUUUUGCAGAAAAGCUUACUAGAAGUGGGUCCUUAAGCCAAAAUUUUACAUCAUAAAUUAAGUACUUUUCCUGAAUCUAGAUUUGCCUAAUCUAGAGCAUUCACUUGUCCUACACUAGCUUUCUUUUAAAAUCCAACUUUUGUUCCGCUUGUUAUCUACGAUGAAGGGCAGCGAUCCAGUCUUCAUAUCCGAGAAGUAACGAUGAUCUGAAUCGAUUAAUACCCAGAUGGGGAUCUCCAACCACACGACAUAUGUAGCACUUAACCCUUGCAUAUGUCAACCAUUCCCACGGAUCCUCCACUACAUGAAUUGGUCCGCGCAACCCGGGGGCACAUUACCCUACCAUCCAGCCUCUUGCCAGGAGGAUAACUGCUACUCCCACCAUCUCCCAUGCCCAGUGCGCGGUUGUCAAUUCACGUAUGGAAUAGCCGGGUUCAGGCUUACCCAUGACGAGGUAUGUGGUCAGCUAAAAGGUCCUAGAUCAAUAGGCCUACAAUCGGUACGUUCCUUAAUCGACACAGACGGAGACACUACACCGAGACUCCUUUCUCGUGCAAGUCAACCGCCCGGUCUCAGCUUUAUUAUUUUCAACCCAAAGUCUGGUACCUGGCAGAGGUACAUCUUUUCCGAUGUUGAACCCAUCAAGGCCUUUGACGGAUCAACCAUCAAGUUUUAUUUUUGAAAACAUUCCCACCCACUAAAGCAUCACUUUUGUUUUAAAACAAAACAUUUUUGUUUGCUAAAGCAAGGCUAAGCAUCAUAAAAUUCUUUUCAAAACAGGUAUCAAGGAAGGGUAAUCAAUUUUCAAGGAAAGAAAUGCAUCAACGGUUUAGCACACAACUCCUAUCACCUAAUGCAUCAAACAAGGUGAUAAAGAUUUUAAAACACAAGGAGGUGGCAAAUGCACUGGGGCUUGCCUAGAAUAAACACUACGUUAGUGUUUGUUAGGUGGCGACCACUUGACGACCAGCCUUUUGUGUUGGCACUCGUUCAGAUUAUCCAUCUUCAGGUUGGUCCGACUGACGACAUCGUCUUGCGGAGAUGUUCAAUCUCUGCGUUAUCCUGAGGUCGAAUUGGCUCGUCUUCUGCAUCACGUGAUCAAUUAAUGUACCUAAAUGGAAUGCAUUAUGCACAUGAAUACAUAUAGACAGGAAUAUUUCAAACCUAAAUAGUACUACGCGAUAGCGAAUUAUACCCCUAUAGUAAGACAUCGCAAAUCUAGUACGAAAAUACUAGAUAUCGGGAUCAUAUUAUUUUAUGACUUAGCAGGUAGAGUAUUUUUAAUCGAAUCACACCAUUACAAACGAUUAUGACAUUUCAUCACACAAGCCUACUUAUAUUCUAUUUGGUCCACCAGUUAAACUAAUUAAUUGGAAUAGGGAAAUAACACAUCAUAACUGAAUCGGACUUGAUAAUCGCAAGAACGACCAAGUCAGCAAGGGUUUCGUAACUCAGAUAUUUUGGCAAGCACCUAGUGAGCAUCACACUGAAUCUCGCUUUUAAAUACUCGAUGAAACAGGCACCAUCCAAUCAUGCCAUUUAAUUAGCUACUAACCAAGGAAUAUAACUACUAAAAGGAAAUAGCAUUGACUUAAUCAUAUAAUUUAACCUACCUUUCGCAUCAUAAACUAAUCACGCUAUGUAUACAAGUCUGCCAACAAAUGCUUCAUAUCAUUAAUACCUAAAAUCUAUACUUUACCACAUAUCACAACUAUUUCACGACCAGAUAUGUAUAACUAACACCUACGCGAAAUGAGACACCUCUAUAAUCAUUUUAUGCGCCAUUAUAAUAUAAAAAGAAAAUAAAGGAAGGGAGAUCCUUCCAAAGACGCCUUAGAGGAUUAACAACAGGUACGACUACCGAUCUGGAAAUCGUCACACAAUGUGCCUAUGCUAACGACAAGAAAAAUCAUUGUGACUAUAUAACUAUCCAAUUCAAUUAACUGAAAUAAUAAAUUGGUUCACCACGAUCGAAUCGAUGUGAUAACCGCGAGGGCGACAACGGCUCUUAGUUUGGACAUCCGGUCGAGCUCCUGGCAAUUGUUGUUAGAAAUAAACCCAGCACAUGUAUGUGCGUGUGGCUGGUCGUGUGCGUGCACGUCGUGUGUGUGCAUGGGUUGUUAGCCUGUGUGUGCAUGCGAACAGUAGUAGUGGGCUAGUGGCCGUAGUUGCUCUGCGUGCGUUGCGCGGAGUCUGUUGUGAGCUGGUCAGUUGGCCGUGUCUUGUGCGUAGUGCGAGUAGUGGCCUGGAGAGCAUGCCGGCUUGAGCGGUGUAGAUUAGGACGUGGAGUACGUGCUGCACGUUGCCCUGCUAUAAAAGGCCACCAUGUACUCAUUGUUUGGCAGACGGCAAAGCAAUAGAAAAACAAACGACGUCUGUGCGUCUGGCGUUCGGCGCCGUAUUUGCUUGUCUCCGUAGCUACUGUUCUUUCUGGUGUGAGUUCUAGUCUUGAGCGCUAUUGAGUUCCAACAUUUGGUAUCGGAGCCAGGUUGGCCCAGUGCAUUCUCAGAUAAAUCUCGGCUCACAAUGUAUGAGGGGGAGAUUGUUGGGAAUAGUCCCACAUUGUCUGGUGAGAGUGGAAAAGCAUGGUUUAUAUUGUUGAGGGUGCAACCCCUAUCAGGCUAGCUUUUUGGGGGAGUGUUGGCCCAAGAGACCUAAAGCCCGCUGCUAUACGUGCGGGCGCGUGUGUCGUGGCCCGACAGCCUGGGUGGGCGCGCCGUGUGUGCGGGCGGCCCCGACGGACACGCCGUGUGUCGGCGGUCCGGUUCCAACAUUUGGUAUCAGAGCCAUUUUAUGCCCAAGAUCCUGCGCUACUACCUCGAGUCCGAGUCCAUGGCGAUGGUUCCGCACGGCGCCGGGGGGAGUUCGGUCUCCAUGUCAUACCCGGUGCUGUCGCCGGCGAGCUACACAGCGUGGGCGAUCAAGGUGGAGUCGAUCCUCGACGCGCAAGGUCUCUGGGAGGCCGUGUCUCCACCAGAUAAUGGCGAGGUGAACGCGGUGAAGAACAAGACGGCGCGGGCACAGCUACUCCAAGCUCUGCCCGAUGACAUCUUGAUGCAGGUCUCCACCAAGAAAACGGCAGCGGAGGUGUGGGCAAGCCUCAAGACUCGUUUUGUCGGGGCGGAUCGGGUCAAGACGGCACGCCUCGCCACGCUCAAGGGGGAGUUCGACAAGCUGUACAUGGAGGACGAGGAGGCAUUGGACGACUACGCAGGCAAAAUCAGUGGUAUGGCGGCGCGUUACGCCGGGCUUGGCGCGACGCUCGACGACGCUGCCAUGGUGAAGAAGCUCCUCGACACCGUUCCAGAUCGGCUCUUCCCGCCGUCGCGGGCAUCGAGCAGUUCUGCGACGUCGAGACGAUGGCGUUCGAGGAGGCGCUCGGCAGACUGAAGGCGUUCGACGAGCGUUCCCGGCGGCGCACUCGUGCUGGCGGCGAACGGCGCGACGACCAGCUCCUUCUCACGGAGGCCGAGUGGAAGGCUCGACAAAAGAAAAAGUCGUCGAUCGGUAAAUGCUUCAACUGUGGCAAUCGUGGUCAUUUCGCCCGGGACUGCCCCAAGAAGAAGGAGGAGGAGGCGCUGCUCGCCAACGCCAACAAGGAGGCGGCGCUGUUCUGAGCAGCGACGCUGGGUUUAGGAGGAGAUUUGUUAGAAAUAAACCCAGCACAUGUAUGUGCGUGUGGCUGGUCGUGUGCGUGCACGUCGUGUGUGUGCAUGGGUUGUUAGCCUGUGUGUGCAUGCGAACAGUAGUAGUGGGCUAGUGGCCGUAGUUGCUCUGCGUGCGUUGCGCGGAGUCUGUUGUGAGCUGGUCAGUUGGCCGUGUCUUGUGCGUAGUGCGAGUAGUGGCCUGGAGAGCAUGCCGGCUUGAGCGGUGUAGAUUAGGACGUGGAGUACGUGCUGCACGUUGCCCUGCUAUAAAAGGCCACCAUGUACUCAUUGUUUGGCAGACGGCAAAGCAAUAGAAAAACAAACGACGUCUGUGCGUCUGGCGUUCGGCGCCGUAUUUGCUUGUCUCCGUAGCUACUGUUCUUUCUGGUGUGAGUUCUAGUCUUGAGCGCUAUUGAGUUCCAACAAUUGUUGCACGGAUCUCGCUUCAUUACCCGGUUCCAAGGAAUUUCUCUCCUUGGCACCAAGUUGGAGACCUACGAAAUGGAGCACCGCGGUAUGCUAUGGAUCUUCGACGUGUCCACGGUGUAAGAAUGUCUAGUAUCCACUUGGAACAUCUCUGGCUCAAGCACAUCCUCGAACCCCAAACGAACAGCGCGCCAAACGAACAGCGCGCCGGGACAUUACCACCCACGCCACCCAUUAGAUGGAGGUGAACAUGAGCGACGACUGACAACUCGGAGGGACGUCAACGACCAGCAGCUGUGCACGGCCAAGCACCACGCGAGGUCGAGGCGAGGAUGAGGAUAAAGAAGGACGACAACGUCGAGCCAGCAUGCCGACACAGGGCGUGAUGGCCAGGAUUUGGGCGAGCUGAGCGACGGCGCGGGUUCUUGAAUUCGGCGACGAGGCGAGCCAGCGCAAGGGCCGGGGACAAAUAUGGCGCAGGGAUGCGCGAGGGAGACAGAAUCUGAGCGCGCGAGAAGGGCAGGACCGAGCGCGACGUAGAGAGUUCCAUGGCGCGCGGCGAGCAGGAAGAUCCGGGCUGGGGCAUCACGGUCUGCUGCGCAGCCAUGGAGGCGAGUAAAGGGAGCAGGGCUCCGGCCGGGCGCAGAGAACGACGACGCAGGGGAGCAGGGCGGUGUGCGGUUGAGCUGGAAGGAACAGAGAAGCAGACACCGAGUAGAAAAGCGCGGCCGGGAAAAAGGCUCCGGCCAUGGGGAUCGAGAGGAACGUGCACAGAGAAGUUUGGCUGGGCGCUGGGAGAUGCGCAGAGUCGCAGGAGAUAAUUGUAUAUUUGGCACUCUAAACAUUACGCUUCGCACAAAUACCAUUCAAAAGAUUUUCUUCGUAAAAAAGAGACUAUAAAUAUAUUCUAAUUGAUUAUACUACCAUUUAAUGUGUAUUAUUCCUUUUUAUAAUUUGUUUCCAUGUAUUUAUCAUCUAAGAGUCAAAAUUGCCCUUGCCCUGGGCUUCUACUUUCAAUCGUUCGUCUCUAUCUAAUGGUUCAACUGUGUUUCUCUCUGCUCUUCUCUGGCCGAGCCCGGCGGACGCGCGCGGACUGCUCCUCUGUGGCGAAGUCCGGUGCGGUGGUGGCCGUCGCGCAGUGACCAUCAAAACCAUGGUCGAUGGCCUGAGCAAGCUUGCCCACCAGCAAGAGGAAUGCAUUGGAGGAAGAGCUUGAGCGCUCCCUCGUUCAGCUUGACCUCUGCGGCGCUGCGUACAGGAGACUAGCAAGAACAGCAAUAUCUCAGCGAUAGAAUGAGAGAAGGGCAAAUCUGUCUAGUGGAGAAGAGAAUACACGUAAAAAAAUAAAAAGGGAGGAAAUGUGGUAAAUGGUGUCUUUAUCAAUUAGAAGACGUUUGUAGAGCCAUUUUUACAAGACAGUUAUUUAAAAUGGUAUUAUUGCGAAGCGUCACGUUUAUAGUCCAAAAAUACAAUUGUCCCUCGCAGGGGCGCAAUCCGCGCGCUGGCUUUGAGGGCUGGGGCUGGGCGCGAGUAGAGAGGACUGGAAGGAGCUCGACGGGCUCGCGGCUGGGAGCAGUACCACCAUGGUUGGGAGCUGCAAGGGCGCGGCACCAGGGAGCUCCGAGCAGGGACGCCGCGGUCCGAGCGCAGGAAGCCGGGCGGAGCGCGCGACGCAGAGAGCAGCGCUGGCAGAAGAACUCGCGCGCGCGCCAGGGAGCUAGGAACGGCGCGACACGCAGGGGAGGGGAUCCGGCGCAGGGAGCUCGGGGCGCAGAGCACCAUGGCUGUCCGAGGCGAGCGCGCCCGCAGCCUGGGCGGGCUGGGAAACAACCAGGGCGCGCGAGAUUCGGUGGAGAAGCAGGACAGAUGCCGCGGCCAGGGAAGCUCCACGGCGGGCUGGAACAGAGACUGAGCACUUGCCGUACGUAGGGAAUGGAGAGGAGAUGGGAGAGGAUAGAGAUGGACGGUGAAGAAAAAUCUUGCGGCCGAAAGAAAUCAAAAACAAAGGCGGCUGGAUUUUUCCACGGGCUGCGGGAUUUUCUUUGGAGUAGGGCGGCAGCAAAGAAGAUAAGAACGCGAAGAGAUGAGCUCGGCUAAAAAAAAUCUGGAAGGGGCAGCGGUAGGGAGUGACGGUUGGAUAUUUUUCUUCUUUUUACACACUAAUUCAUAUGUAUUCGUUCUCUCAGAUUUAAAUCUAGCAUCAAGAUGUAAAUGAGGUUUAAUUUGGUCAGAUCAAAAUGACGUGGCCAACUAUUUUGGAUAUUUCUUUGAUAUAACUGAGACCCGAUAAAUUCAUCUGCUACCCGAAUGCUCAGAGUAGAGCAAAAAAUAACAGACCAGACCACGUCAUUAUCUUCGAACACAAUUUCUCAGAUAACACACGGGUCAAAAUUAUUUUGAACUAAAAGCCUUAUUAGUCGAAUUCUAAAUAAAUUUGCUUUGAGAUAAAAAUUAUUCGAGUGGGUCAGGCUUCCGAUUUCGUAUGCGUGCAAGCGAUGAGUUUUAAAUAAUCACCGGACGUAUCGAUUUUUGGAACAACGAUGUUCCGAACAUUACGAAAAUUUAGGAACAGCCCGGAUAGAUAAAAACAAUGUCAAACUCGCGACAGAUGAAACAUAUGCGAUAUUAAAAUCGCGAUAGGCGAAGAUGAUUAAAAUUAAGCAUCUAUUUUAUCCACUGAUAUUACGUGCUUAAAUCCAUACUCGUUGUCGAGCGGAAUAUAAACACCUGGGGUGUUACAGACGGCGGGUUGUUUUCCUAAAAACAUAAGGGCUUUUCUGCAAAGUGGGUAAACUGAAGCGGUCUCGACAUGUUCUGGCCGUUGGAUCUUGCGCGGACGGCGCGGAUUAGAUUGAGUCACCAGUGAAACGGUAUGCAGCGCAGACCGUCCAAUCCGCGAUCGACGACGCAGAUUUAAUUACUCCGGAGUCGCUCUGAUCCGUUCGAUCAGAUCUCUACAGCCCUGAUUCCCCUACCGAACCGAUAAGUAUACCUUCUAAUCUCAUCCCUUGCCCAUAGAUCUAGCGGUCCAGAUUCUUAUAGCACGAAAGGGUACGUAGCCUCUAAUCCUGGCCGCCCAAACAGGAUCCGACGGUGCACGGUUCUUCCUCAAUCCGCCGAACAGGACGGUGGUUCCACCCCGCGUGCACGACAGAGUUACACCGUGGUAAUUCCAAUCUCCCACCAGAAGACCCCAGCUCAAUCCCCGAUCAGUGCUAGUGCGAAAAGAGUAUGAAGGCGGACAGAAGGGGAAAAUUUCUUACCGGAAUCAGGGUGGUUGGCAAUCCAAUUGCGGGGCGGCACGGAUCCGAAGGAGUUAGCGUGUUCCGACGAGGAAUUACUUUGGACACCACUGUCCCCACGCUAGCUGAUCCCCCGCUCAGGUACCCCGGUCUUCGGUGGUCUCUCAGGCUAAUCGCGGAGGGAGUUAUGACAGCGACGAUGAAUUUCAUUCACGGCGGUCACUCACCGUUUGCUCUC
rnacentral:lncRNA from 1 species